UACGGAGGAUGCGAGCGUUAUCCGGAUUUAUUGGGUUUAAAGGGUGCGUAGGCGGAGUGCCAAGUCAGCGGUAAAAAUUCGGGGCUCAACCCCGUCCGGCCGUUGAAACUGGGGGCCUUGAGUGGGCGAGAAGAAGGCGGAAUGCGUGGUGUAGCGGUGAAAUGCAUAGAUAUCACGCAGAACCCCGAUUGCGAAGGCAGCCUUCCGGCGCCCUACUGACGCUGAGGCACGAAAGUGCGGGGAUCGAACAGG
rnacentral:rRNA from 1 species